rnacentral:rRNA from 1 species
UGGGGAAUUUUGGACAAUGGGCGCAAGCCUGAUCCAGCCAUGCCGCGUGCGGGAAGAAGGCCUUCGGGUUGUAAACCGCUUUUGUCAGGGAAGAAAUCUUCUGAGUUAAUACCUCGGGAGGAUGACGGUACCUGAAGAAUAAGCACCGGCUAACUACGUGCCAGCAGCCGCGGUAAUACGUAGGGUGCAAGCGUUAAUCGGAAUUACUGGGCGUAAAGCGUGCGCAGGCGGUUUUGUAAGACAGAGGUGAAAUCCCCGGGCUCAACCUGGGAACUGCCUUUGUGACUGCAAGGCUUGAGUGCGGCAGAGGGGGAUGGAAUUCCGCGUGUAGCAGUGAAAUGCGUAGAUAUGCGGAGGAACACCGAUGGCGAAGGCAAUCCCCUGGGCCUGCACUGACGCUCAUGCACGAAAGCGUGGGGAGCAAACAGGAUUAGAUAGCCCUGGUAGUCCACGCCCUAAACGAUGUCAACUGGUUGUUGGGAAGGUUCCUUCUCAGUAACGUAGCUAACGCGUGAAGUUGACCGCCUGGGAAGUACGGCCGCAAGGUUG